rnacentral:lncRNA from 1 species
AUUGUUCAUCGAAAUUUCAUAAAGUACCUUAAGUCCAUAAAAUGUGUACAUUGCAUAUUCAAUUGUAUGCAAUAGUGCUUCAUUUAUUUAAUCGAAUGAAGUACUUUUCUAAAUUACUUCAAAUUAUAUAACAGACUUGAACAUAAAAUUAAAUUUCUGUUUUAGGCAACUAUGGUGGCAGUGGAAGCUACAAUGAUUUUGGCAACUACAGUGGACAGCAGGCCUCAAGUUAUGGACCCAUGAAAGGAAGUGGCAGUUUCAGUGGCAGAAGUUCAGGCAGUCCCUACGGUGGUAAAUGCAACAUUAAAAUAUAUUCAGCUGGCUAGUAUCUUUCAACAAGAACUUGAAUAUAAACAGUUAUACUCCAUUUGUAGGUAACUAUGGAUCAGGUGGAGGAAGUGGUGGCUAUGGUGGAAGAAGAUUCUAAAAACUAGUGGGAUAAUGAUUGUUGAAGAAACCUCUGUGACCAGAGGUGGAUAUCUUACUGGAAAACUUGCUUGGUCUAAAAUUCUACCAUCCACGGUACUUCAGACAGCUGUUAUAGAGGCAAGAAAAUCAGUAACAUUCUCACCUGGAAUACUUGAUGUGCCCUCUAAAUUAAUUUUCAGGACUAUGAGUGGCAAAGAGCACCUAUGCUCCCUUUUUGUCUUAUGA